UGGCUUGUUCAGAGCUUAAGAAGUUGAACGGUCCACGGAAUUGAAACUUGAAUAAACCAACUUGCUGACGAUCCGAAUCAGAUUUCCAGAGAAUGCCCCCUCUACUUGCAGUAGCUUCGAACUGUCGAACCAUGCAGUUUGCCGGUGGCCUUGAUCAACGCCGAGACGGUAGGAUUAACACCUAGGUCACAUGAAACAAAUACCGGUGAGGAUAGGAACUGUAGUACACGGUUAGACCACAGCUAUCAUAAGACAUUGCGUAGGUUUAACGCGGUCCAUUUUCGACCCAGCUUGUGCUUCAGCCUCUCGCUCUAAUCAGAUUUGACAGCCCUUCUUGCACAGUAUAUUGAGGCAUAGAUCCUUUCUGCUACUUGAAGCCCCUGAAUUCAAUAAAAUUUUAAAAAUCCAAUCAUCUAGGCUUAGCUAGUCCACUUUUCGAAAGUGUUUGCUGGAGAUUGUCAGGAUCUGAGAAUAAACAAUGGGUGCGUGGCGCAUGUCGGUCUGUGCGCCAGCCACAUCUGGACACUACGGGCAUUUUCGGAAAGAAAGGAUCGGCAAAUCACGUGUUCAUUUUUAGGUUUCAAUGCUCAUAUUCAAAAUCGCGAAUCUGGUCCCUGGAAAACGUGCUUUCGUGAAACAGUUAUCCUUGAAGAGAGCUUCAUUUUCGGUGCAUUAUUGAUGGAUAGAUACUGUCGACGCCCGCAAUCAUCUAGGCCUCUUAAGGUUGAUGCUGUGGCUAUGGCUAGAUGACUUGUGCUUUGUCUGCCACUGCAAUGCCCCUGGAGGAGGUGUGGAUUAGUGAACGAGGACGUCUGAUUGCGUGACGCAUGCGAGAGAAGUGAGGGUAGAUGCUGUAUAAAUGCUGCAACUUGUACUCAACUAAGUUUUAAGAUAGUGUCUAGAUGAAGUUGGUUAGGUGUUGCGGUGGUGAUACCAAAGUGAAGGUCUGAGUUAAUUAGGUUACAGUCUUCGAAGCGCCAUUAGGAAUGACCAAGAUUUCAUGCCGAGUAUGAUCUCGGAUUGACAUGUUGCAGGUAAUUCCAUUAUGCGAUUCUUACAAACAGAAGAGAAAAAUUGAUGUUGCAAUAUUACAUCACAGAGUUGCUAUUGCAUCAUUUGCCAUUAGUGUAUAGGAACAACAUUCACUAAGGAUACAAGAAUAAAAAUCGUAUACUACAAAAUAAUUAUCGUGUUCUAUCGCUCUGAUCAAUGAGAUUUUACGAAGCCCAUCGUUCGUCAUGUACGUCAUUCAUAAGAUUUGUGCUUCAUGUACGUCUAGCUCAGAGUCACUUGCUGCUGGACAGUGUAGCAGGUUCUGAUUAAAGCUGUAACAAUCCAAAGAAUUGUUGCUCUGGUCUGCUGCUAACAGGUCUUAAACGUGAGACAGCAACGUAUCGACUCCGAGGGAGAUAUGAAUGGAAUCAGAAACCAAAGCCGAGGUCUUGCCACUCCUCGCACUCACUACUUGUGCAUACUCAGAACGCAGUUCCUGCAAAACCGGAAGAAACACAUGUGUCCACUCUAGACUCGUACAUAAUUGUCAACCAUGGAUCAAAAUGUCGAAAUAAUUAGCUACUGCUGCUUGAGAACGCCGAAUAUCGCAAAUUACUUGUAGCCCUCCCUAUCUCAUGCAAAGCACAUUGUAAACAGUGUUCUGUUGGGUAACAAUGAAUAAAGAGUAUGAAAACCAGAAUCAAGAAACGACCAACAAAAGUAGGCCGAGAGUCUCAUUGCCAUGAAUAGUGUUUUUCUUGGUUGAGGAGGCUUCACGCUGCAAACUGGGCGAGGUAUAGUAGAUCCGCGCAAACAAACUCUGCUCAGAGCCCAUGCUUGUCCUGGCGAAUACUAGUCGAAGACGAACCAUGAAGUGAGAAAUCCCUUGGUUGCACACAGCUUGGCACGAAACUCUGAUAUCCCCUCAAUAAUUUUAGGGAGAAAUCGUGCAUGGACAACUGAAGAUUGACGAGUAUAGUGAGAUUAACAGUGCUAGUAUGUUCGUCCCCGGUAGUGACUGCAGUGACUUUCUGCAGUCACUGAAGUAGGCGCGCAAAGGAAGAUACCGACAAGACCUCAAACUAUUGGGUGUGGCUGCAGAAAUUCGAAAUUAGAGUUUCCAACAGCGUCUUUCAAAUUGAAGAUUUCGUGCGAAAAAAGGUAUACAAACAA